UACGGGGGGGGCAAGCGUUGUUCGGAAUUACUGGGCGUAAAGGGCGCGUAGGUGGCUUUUCAAGUCGGGCGUGAAAUCUCCGGGCUUAACCCGGAAGGGUCGUUCGAUACUGUUGAGCUAGAGUGUGGAAGAGGCAACUAGAAUUCCGUGUGUAGCGGUGAAAUGCGUAGAUAUACGGAGGAAUACCUGAGGCGAAGGCGGGUUGCUGGGCCAACACUGACGCUGAGGCGCGAAAGCCAGGGGAGCAAACGGG
rnacentral:rRNA from 1 species